AUACGUAGGUGGCAAGCGUUGUCCGGAAUUAUUGGGCGUAAAGCGCGCGCAGGCGGUCCUUUAAGUCUGAUGUGAAAGCCCACGGCUCAACCGUGGAGGGUCAUUGGAAACUGGAGGACUUGAGUGCAGAAGAGGAAAGUGGAAUUCCAAGUGUAGCGGUGAAAUGCGUAGAGAUUUGGAGGAACACCAGUGGCGAAGGCGACUUUCUGGUCUGUAACUGACGCUGAGGCGCGAAAGCGUGGGGAGCAAACAGGAUUAGAUACCCUGGUAGUCCACGCCGUAAACGAUGAGUGCUAAGUGUUAGGGGGUUUCCGCCCCUUAGUGCUGCAGCUAACGCAUUAAGCACUCCGCCUGGGGAGUACGGUCGCAAGACUGAAACUCAAAGGAAUUGACGGGG
rnacentral:rRNA from 1 species